AGGAUAAGUUGGUUUAAGAUUUGGAGUAGGCUUAUUCAGUACUAGCAGACACACCAUAGUUUGACCGGUGUAGUUCCCGUUCCUGUGGGAAUAUGGGGUAGCACAGAGUAAUACGGGCUAUAUUUUAUAUAGCCUAUAUUACUCUGUGCUGUAGCUUACCAAUGGUGAAAGAUUUUUUAUAAUCAGUCCAGUAGUAUUUGUGUUAGAUUGUAAGAAACAAAUAAUAAGAUCGGUCACUGUCAUCCUAAGAACCUAAAUUAAACCAUUGAAUAUUAUUUACAGGUCUUGGCAGCUUUAAACUUUUAUGCCAAUGGAUCAUACAAAUGGCUUUGUGAUGGCUAAGGCAUCUUUUAGCAAAUGCCUACAUGAAGUCGCUGACGCUCCUGAAUACCCCAGCUGUUUAAAAAAAAUGUGUUAAGUUCCCUUUGCAUUAAACACAAAAUCAUUAUAAAUAAAUAUGUGAUGCCAAUCUAAUAAUAACAUAGUGGAUGCUCAAUUUGGUGGUGCAUCUUAUGACUUGUACAUAUGGAACCAGUGCAAUAAGACCACUUGAGGAAAACCUGCCCAAUAGGGACCGCUGUUGGUUGUUAGGUGACCAAUGUUUGCAUGAUGACCCCCAUCUUGGGAGCUGCUCCUAGAUCCCAUGAAGAUAUGCACAACAUUGCUGUGUCAGAAAUACGGUGGAGCCUUGUAGUUGGGUGCAUAUUGUAAAAUGUUUCCUCACUCCAAAACCAUGAACUCUGGUUUCCUAAACCCUCAAGCUAUGCAGCCGAAGGAGGAGACUUAUCACAGGAGAAUCACUAAUAAUUUUGAAGAAGUGAAGAGCUUAACAAUGUUUCAACCAACACCUAAAGAAGCUUUCACUUGGCUGUUAGAUCAAGGGCUGGAUACAGAAAACAGUAAUUCUUGUGAUGGCAGUAUUGUCCAAGGAUUCCUCACUCAAAACCAUGAUAACAAGUUGCUAGAACCCUCAAGCUAUGCAGACAAAGGACUGGAUAUAUUUUUUCGUGACCAAGCCUUCUGUAUAAUUAUUUAUACUUAAACCAUACAAAGCACUAUCUAGCCCCAAAGUAGGCAUACAGAGUAGCUUGUGUUGUGGGUACUAAGAUAGUUGAUAUUAUAAUAUUCAUUUACAUUUAUAUACUACCUAUAAAUACUUAUAUAAUGUAUAAAUACACACCCACUGGAAAAAACCCAUGCUCUUCACACAAAUAUUUUCCAGGUGUGGGAAUCGAACCCAUGACCGUGGAUGCAGGAGCACUACUUACUGCGCCACGCGUAUGUGUUUUUAUUUUGAAGCAAAUUAUUAAAGUUGAUAAUUCAAAUUGUAGUCAUGUUUUUAAUUAAUCUAUAAUUAAUUUUUAAUUUACAUUUUUGUUAAAUAUUUACCUAUACUUCAGUCUAUUUUUGUUAGAGGGGGUACCUAUAUGUGUAAGUAGGGUCGUUUCUUGAUUAAAUUAAACUAAAGAAUGAAAGAUAUAUAUUAUAACAAAAUUUGUCAACAACAAUAUAUCAAGUCUGAAUAAAAAAUACCAACACAAGUAAA